ensembl:lncRNA
UCUUGCUCUCCCUGCAUCCCUGCUAUGGCAGUGCCUGGUUUGAGAACACAGGGUGACUAGUUCACAGAGACCAGUGAACUUGUCUGCCCUGUUUAUUCUGGGGCAUUAGACUUAAUCCCCUUUGGCUAUAAUAUGUAUUUUCAGAUCAGCAUGUAGUGUUGAAUAUAUAAGAGAUAUAACAUCAGUUCUUUGGUGCCUCAUUCACAUGCCUAAUUGCCUUCACUCAGUGAAAAAUAAGUCAAGAUUUCUACCUGAAUCUGGCAAGUUUGUUUCUGAUUAAAAAUCUGGUGGAACCUCACUGCAAUGGUUUCUGAAGUCACACUGCUGUGCUGCACUCUUCUAAAUGUCUGCUUUGGAAAUAAGAACAAUGUUAGGAACAGUUGCAUGGUGUUGGUCUGUUUUGCAUUACAAAGUGUUUUUGUAUCAUAAAGUUCUGGACCAGGUCAUUACCUCCAUCUUUAAACAUGAAGGAACAGAAACUCAGCUGGCCUAAUUUGGCUUAACUCCAUGGAUUUCAUUGCUGUGAACACGCUAAAGAUUUCAUCCUUUGCAGUAAGAUUCCUCCACACAAGAUUUAUUUUCUUUUGGUUAUGUAAAUAAUUCGUGAAAUAUAAAAAAUAAUUGUAUUGAUUCAGCCUCUGUUAACUCAUGGGAGAAAUCCUGCACAAGGCAUGCAGGGUGCUGGCUGUGGUUGGCUGCAAGUGGCAGGGCAGCACCGUGCUGCUUGGCUGGGAUGGCUGCAAGCUAAGACCAGCUCCUGCUUCAGGAAUGCACAGGCACGGGGCUCUGCCCCGAGCUCCUGGCCAUGACAGUGGAGCCAGUCCCACAGGCUGAGCAUGGUGGGGACCUGUGAGAUGACUGCCAUG